GAUGAACGCUGGCGGCGUGCCUAAUACAUGCAAGUCGAGCGAACGGACGAGAAGCUUGCUUCUCUGAUGUUAGCGGCGGACGGGUGAGUAACACGUGGAUAACCUACCUAUAAGACUGGGAGAACUUCGGGAAACCGUAGCUAAUACCGGAUAAUAUUUUGAACCGCAUGGUUCAAAAGUGAAAGACGGUCUUGCUGUCACUUAUAGAUGGAGCCGCGCUGCAUUAGCUAGUUGGUAAGGUAACGGCUUACCAAGGCAACGAUGCAUAGCCGACCUGAGAGGGUGAUCGGCCACACUGGAACUGAGACACGGUCCAGACUCCUACGGGAGGCAGCAGUAGGGAAUCUUCCGCAAUGGGCGAAAGCCUGACGGAGCAACGCCGCGUGAGUGAUGAAGGUCUUCGGAUCGUAAAGCUCUGUUAUUAGGGAAGAACAUAUGUGUAAGUAACUGUGCACAUCUUGACGGUACCUAAUCAGAAAGCCACGGCUAACUACGUG
rnacentral:rRNA from 1 species